rnacentral:lncRNA from 1 species
AUGAUCCGCUCUCACCUUUUGGAUACAUCAGACAAUCUUAAAUGCGAGUUUUCGCAUACCACUAGGAAGAUGUAUAGAGCUCUUGCUCAAGUGCUUGCACCACCUCCUUUCUUUCUCAAGUUGCUUAUUCGUUUGGCUAUGAGUUGUGUUUUCCCAUGGCUGUUUUUUGAUUGCUUGCUACGUUCGCAUGGGUGCUUAGGUGGUUUUGACUCUUCCAGAGGUGAUGAAUUUGGAUUGUUGGCUUUCGUGUAUUGUUGUGAAUUUUAG